UACGUAGGGACCGAGCGUUGUCCGGAUUCAUUGGGCGUAAAGAGCUCGUAGGCGGCCACUCAAGUCGAAUGUGAAACCUCGAGGCUUAACCUCGAGCCUGCAUUCGAUACUGGAAGGCUUGAGUAUGGGAGAGGGAUGUAGAAUUCCAGGUGUAGCGGUGAAAUGCGUAGAUAUCUGGAGGAAUACCGGUGGCGAAGGCGGCAUCCUGGACCAUUACUGACGCUGAGGCGCGAAAGCUAGGGGAGCAAACGGG
rnacentral:rRNA from 1 species